rnacentral:rRNA from 1 species
AUUGAACGCUGGCGGCAGGCCUAACACAUGCAAGUCGAGCGGAUGAAGAGAGCUUGCUCUCUGAUUUAGCGGCGGACGGGUGAGUAAUGCCUAGGAAUCUGCCUGGUAGUGGGGGAUAACGUUCCGAAAGGAACGCUAAUACCGCGUACGUCCUACGGGAGAAAGCAGGGGACCUUCGGGCCUUGCGCUAUCAGAUGAGCCUAGGUCGGAUUAGCUAGUUGGUGAGGUAAUGGCUCACCAAGGCGACGAUCCGUAACUGGUCUGAGAGGAUGAUCAGUCACACUGGAACUGAGACACGGUCCAGACUCCUACGGGAGGCAGCAGUGGGGAAUAUUGCACAAUGGGCGAGAGCCUGAUCCAGCCAUGCCGCGUGUGUGAAGAAGGUCUUCGGAUUGUAAAGCACUUUAAGUUGGGAGGAAGGGCAUUAACCUAAUACGUUAGUGUUUUGACGUUACCGACAGAAUAAGCACCGGCUAACUUCGUGCCAGCCGCCGCCGUAAUAC